rnacentral:rRNA from 1 species
UUAGGUUAAGUUAUUAAGGGCGUAUGGUGGAUGCCUUGGCACUAGGAGCCGAUGAAGGACGUGACUAACUGCGAUAUGCUUCGGGGAGUUGUAAGUAAACUAUGAUCCGGAGAUUUCCGAAUGGGGAAACCUAACAGGUUUUACCGCCUGUUAUCACUAAGUGAAUUCAUAGCUUAGUUGAAGGUAGACGUGGGGAACUGAAACAUCUAAGUACCCACAGGAAGAGAAAGAAAUUCGAUUCCCUCAGUAGCGGCGAGCGAACCGGGAAGAGCCCAAACUAAGAAGCUUGCUUCUUAGGGUUGUAGGACUGAACAUCUGAGUUACCAAGAAAUGAAGUAGUUGAAUAAUCUGGGAAGAUUAGCCAAAGAGAGUGAUAGCCUCGUAAGCGAAACUUUGUUUCCUCAGUUCAGGAUCCUGAGUACGGCGGAACACGUGAAACUCCGUCGGAAUCCGGGAGGACCAUCUCCCAAGGCUAAAUACUACCUAGUGACCGAUAGUGAACCAGUACCGUGAGGGAAAGGUGAAAAGCACCCCGGGAGGGGAGUGAAAUAGUUCCUGAAACCAUAUGCCUACAAGUAGUCAGAGCUCGUUAAUGAGUGAUGGCGUGCCUUUUGUAGAAUGAACCGGCGAGUUACGUUAGCGUGCGAGGUUAAGGAGGAAAGUCCGGAGCCGUAGCGAAAGCGAGUCUGAAUAGGGCGAGAUAGUACGUUGACGUAGACCCGAAACCAGGUGACCUACCCAUGUCCAGGUUGAAGGUGCGGUAAAACGCACUGGAGGACCGAACCCGUGUAUGUUGAAAAAUGCUGGGAUGAGGUGUGGGUAGAGGUGAAAUUCCAAACGAACUUGGAGAUAGCUGGUUCUCUCCGAAAUAGCUUUAGGGCUAGCCUCGGAGUUAAGAAUCGUGGAGGUAGAGCACUGUUUGGACUAGGGGCCCGUCUUGGGUUACUGAAUUCAGAUAAACUCCGAAUGCCACAGAUUUAUAUCCGGGAGUCAGACUGCGAGUGAUAAGAUCCGUAGUCGAAAGGGAAACAGCCCAGACCACCGAUUAAGGUCCCAAAAUAUGUGUUAAGUGGAAAAGGAUGUGGAAUUGCAUAGACAACUAGGAUGUUGGCUUAGAAGCAGCCACCAUUUAAAGAGUGCGUAAUAGCUCACUAGUCGAGUGAUCCUGCGCCGAAAAUGUAACGGGGCUAAACACAUUACCGAAAUCGUGGAUGUACCGUAAGGUACAUGGUAGGAGAGCGUUCUAAGGACGGCGAAGCUAGACCGUAAGGACUGGUGGAGUGCUUAGAAGUGAGAAUGCCGGUAUGAGUAGCGAAAGAUCAGUGAGAAUCUGGUCCACCGUAUGACUAAGGUUUCCUGGGGAAGGCUCGUCCUCCCAGGGUUAGUCGGGACCUAAGCCGAGGCCGAGAGGCGUAGGCGAUGGAUAACAGGUUGAGAUUCCUGUACUGGUUAAACUUGUUUGAACAAUGGAGGGACGCAGGAGGCUAUCGAUGCGUACUGUUGGAUAUGUACGUUCAAGCAACAAGUCUGUAGGUGAGUCAAAUGCUUAUCUACUUAAGGACAAGUUGUGAUGAGGAGCGAAAUUUAGUAGCGAAGUGAGAGACGUCACACUGCCAAGAAAAGCUUCUAGUUAGAGUUUAAUCACCCGUACCGCAAACCGACACAGGUAGUCGAGGCGAGUAGCCUAAGGUGAGCGAGAGAACUCUCGUUAAGGAACUCGGCAAAAUGACCCCGUAACUUCGGGAGAAGGGGUGCUGAGCGCAAGCUCAGCCGCAGUGAAUAGGCCCAGGCGACUGUUUAUCAAAAACACAGGUUUCUGCAAAAUCGUAAGAUGAAGUAUAGGGGCUGACGCCUGCCCGGUGCUGGAAGGUUAAGAGGAUGGGUUAGCGUAAGCGAAGCUCAGAAUUGAAGCCCCAGUAAACGGCGGCCGUAACUAUAACGGUCCUAAGGUAGCGAAAUUCCUUGUCGGGUAAGUUCCGACCCGCACGAAAGGCGUAACGAUCUGGGCACUGUCUCAACGAGAGACUCGGUGAAAUUAUAAUACCCGUGAAGAUGCGGGUUACCCGCGACAGGACGGAAAGACCCCAUGGAGCUUUACUGUAGCUUGAUAUUGGGUGUUUGUACAACUUGUACAGGAUAGGUAGGAGCCGUAGAAGUCGGAACGCUAGUUUCGAUGGAGGCAUUGGUGGGAUACUACCCUCGUUGUAUGAACACUCUAACCCUCGCCGGCAAUCACGGCGGGAGACAGUGUCAGGUGGGCAGUUUGACUGGGGCGGUCGCCUCCUAAAAGGUAACGGAGGCGCCCAAAGGUUCCUUCAGAAUGGUUGGAAAUCAUUCGCAGAG